rfam:Escherichia hermannii NBRC 105704 DNA, contig: EH10570403.
UGAUCACCGCCCCAUCACGUUGCGUAUCCAGUUGAUAACGAAACACCGUCCUGCUCAGUGAUAGUAUCUUACAUGCCUGGCGUAUGCUCAUCGGAAACUGCGUAGUCAGACAGUUGACGGGCUCACGCUUUAUCGCUGGUGCU